rnacentral:rRNA from 1 species
GACGAACGCUGGCGGCGUGCUUAACACAUGCAAGUCGAACGGAAAGGCCCUGCUUUUGUGGGGUGCUCGAGUGGCGAACGGGUGAGUAACACGUGAGUAACCUGCCCUUGACUUUGGGAUAACUUCAGGAAACUGGGGCUAAUACCGGAUAGGAGCUCCUGCUGCAUGGUGGGGGUUGGAAAGUUUCGGCGGUUGGGGAUGGACUCGCGGCUUAUCAGCUUGUUGGUGGGGUAGUGGCUUACCAAGGCUUUGACGGGUAGCCGGCCUGAGAGGGUGACCGGCGACAUUGGGACUGAGAUACGGCCCAGACUCCUACGGGAGGCAGCAGUGGGGAAUAUUGCACAAUGGGCGGAAGCCUGAUGCAGCAACGCCGCGUGCGGGAUGACGGCCUUCGGGUUGUAAACCGCUUUCGCCUGUGACGAAGCGUGAGUGACGGUAAUGUGUAAAGAAGCACCGGCUAACUACGUG